AGUGAACGCUGGCGGUAGGCCUAACACAUGCAAGUCGAACGGCAGCACAGUAAGAGCUUGCUCUUACGGGUGGCGAGUGGCGGACGGGUGAGGAAUACAUCGGAAUCUACUUUUUCGUGGGGGAUAACGUAGGGAAACUUACGCUAAUACCGCAUACGACCUACGGGUGAAAGCAGGGGAUCUUCGGACCUUGCGCGAUUGAAUGAGCCGAUGUCGGAUUAGCUAGUUGGCGGGGUAAAGGCCCACCAAGGCGACGAUCCGUAGCUGGUCUGAGAGGAUGAUCAGCCACACUGGAACUGAGACACGGUCCAGACUCCUACGGGAGGCAGCAGUGGGGAAUAUUGGACAAUGGGCGCAAGCCUGAUCCAGCCAUACCGCGUGGGUGAAGAAGGCCUUCGGGUUGUAAAGCCCUUUUGUAAGGAAAGAAAAGCAGCAGGUUAAUACCCCGCUGUUCUGACGGUACCCAAAGAAUAAGCACCGGCUAACUUCGUG
rnacentral:rRNA from 1 species